rnacentral:rRNA from 1 species
AACGAACGCUGGCGGCAGGCCUAACACAUGCAAGUCGAACGCCCUGGCAACAGGGAGUGGCAGACGGGUGAGUAACGCGUGGGAACGUGCCCUUCGGUUCGGAAUAACUCAGGGAAACUUGAGCUAAUACCGGAUACGUGCGAGAGCAGAAAGAUUUAUCGCCGAAGGAUCGGCCCGAGUCCGAUUAGCUAGUUGGUGAGGUAACGGCUCACCAAGGCGACGGUCGGUAGCUGGUCUGAGAGGAUGAUCAGCCACACUGGGACUGAGACACGGCCCAGACUCCUACGGGAGGCAGCAGUGGGGAAUAUUGGACAAUGGGCGCAAGCCUGAUCCAGCCAUGCCGCGUGAGUGAUGAAGGCCCUAGGGUUGUAAAGCUCUUUCGCCAGGGACGAUAAUGACGGUACCUGGAUAAGAAGCCCCGGCUGACUUCGUGCCAGCCGCCGCAGUAA